rnacentral:rRNA from 1 species
UACGUAGGGGGCAAGCGUUGUCCGGAAUCAUUGGGCGUAAAGAGCGUGUAGGCGGCUUGGUAAAUCCGCUGUGAAAGUCCAGGGCUCAACCCUGGAAUGCCAGUGGAAACUGUCAGGCUCGAGUCCGGAAGAGGCGAGUGGAAUUCCUGAUGUAGCGGUGAAAUGCGCAGAUAUCAGGAGGAACACCAAUGGCGAAGGCAGCUCGCUGGGACGGUACUGACGCUGAGACGCGAAAACAUGGGGAGCAAACAGG